rnacentral:rRNA from 1 species
UACGUAGGGUGCAAGCGUUGUCCGGAAUUACUGGGCGUAAAGAGUUCGUAGGCGGUUUGUCGCGUCGUUUGUGAAAACUCACAGCUCAACUGUGAGCCUGCAGGCGAUACGGGCAGACUUGAGUACUGCAGGGGAGACUGGAAUUCCUGGUGUAGCGGUGAAAUGCGCAGAUAUCAGGAGGAACACCGGUGGCGAAGGCGGGUCUCUGGGCAGUAACUGACGCUGAGGAACGAAAGCCAGGGGAGCAAACGGG